rnacentral:lncRNA from 1 species
UAUUACUUUUUCCACUUAAAAGUUCAGGUGCCAUCCAUGGUAAAGUUCCCCGAAGACCACCUGACACCAACGUAUGCUGCUUUACUUUUGAUAAUCCAAGAUCCCCAAUCUGUUAGGAGAGUAACGAUAUGCAGAUCAAUCACACAAUUACAGCUCAACCAAAAUUUAUUGAAGACACUGAACAAAUUAUAGUGGAAUUAUAACAUAAAAGUAGAAAAGAGUAUUCACAUCUAGCCAUAUCAUUAUAUUAUAUUGAUAAUUCCAAAAAACUACUCAUAUUAUCAUCAUAAUAUGAUGAUGGUCAUGUGGAUAUGCCCCUAUCAUCUCGUGGUUCAAGAAAUCUCUCUUUCAAGGAGGCAGCGGAGAUUUGAUUCGACAUCCCUUGGGAUACUACGAAAGGAAGUUGAUCAUGGAUUAUCAAUAAGCCUAGAAGGAAUUCUUCCUGGGUGGGUCAAUGCGCGAUCAGUUAAUGGGGACAGAUUGUAAAUUCAUUGGCAAUAUUUCUAUGCUGCUUCAAAUCCAACUUGACCCAAAAUUUCAUCAUUCCAUGAAUAUGAUAUAACCAAUUUGUCCUCUAGAAAUAAAAAUGCUUGAUUCGUAAAUGAGAGAGUCCAUUUUUGUUUCUCUAUCUAUGUUUUUCUCAUCGGUUCUAAUAUUUUCCUUCUAACGAUCUAUAUUCAUAAUACUUAAUCAAAGCAGAGAUUAUGGAAAGAAAAAUCAUUUUUACUCAUCGAGAGGUUGAUUAUUCAUUUUUGGCAAUAAAAUAAACACAAUUUACAAGUAAUCCAUGUUACUUUCAAUAUAGUCCAUAUCUAUAUGUACAUGGUAUCAGUCAGUAUAUUCUUGCCUAUGUUACAUUGCAACGAAGAAAAUGAUUUUUCUUAAACCAUUAAGAAUAUGUAUACCAUACACCACUGGAAUUGUAGUUCAAUUGGUCCAGAGCACCUCCCUGUCAACGCAGAAGCUGCGGGUCCAAGCCUCGUCAAUCCGAAACUAGGAUCCGAUCCAAUGAAUGAAGAAAUUCAUUUCUCCAUUUUCUGUGAAAAAGGAGCCAAGGAGCAAGAUCUAAUCCCCCAUGGGGAUCCUUAUUUCUUUUGUUUUUCAUUUCGCAUUUAUCAUCAGACAGUGAAUUGUAUUUGAAACAGGUAAAAGUCAAGCCACGCUUAAUAUAAUGGUGUUACAUACAAUUAUAGAACUUAUAUGAACAAAAUAUAGGUGAUCAAGAGUUUUAUGCGACUGAUAACAAUGGUCUUUUCCUUUUGAAUGGGGUACAUCACAAAAUUAUAACCAAAUCUUUUGAAAGAUACGUAAGUUCAUAAGAAAAAGGAUCUAAACAUACCUUGCAGACAGGGCGAUGAGGAUCUCGCAUGUUAACUAAUAAAUUCUCACACUUGAGAUCAAAGUGAACUAUAUUCUUUCCAUGCAAAUACUCCAUCCCAAAUGCGACAUCCAUGGCUAUAAUUAGUCUUUUGCGGCGAUCAAUUGUUCU